rnacentral:rRNA from 1 species
CACGUAGGGGCCAAGCGUUGUCCGGAUUUAUUGGGCGUAAAGAGCUCGUAGGCGGUUCGACAAGUCGGGUGUGAAAACUCCGGGCUCAACCCGGAGACGCCACCCGAUACUGUCGUGACUGGAGUCCGGUAGGGGAGUGGGGAAUUCCUGGUGUAGCGGUGAAAUGCGCAGAUAUCAGGAGGAACACCGGUGGCGAAGGCGGUGGUCUGGGCCGGAACUGACGCUGAGGAGCGAAAGCGUGGGGAGCGAACAGG